rnacentral:rRNA from 1 species
GUGGGGAAUUUUGGGCAAUGGGCGAAAGCCUGACCCAGCAACGCCGCGUGAGGGAUGAAGGCCCUCGGGUCGUAAACCUCUGUCGGGAGGGAAGAACUGCCUCAUGGCCAAUACCCAUGAGGUUUGACGGUACCUCCAAAGGAAGCGCCGGCUAACUCCGUGCCAGCAGCCGCGGUAAUACGGGGGGCGCAAGCGUUGUUCGGAAUUACUGGGCGUAAAGCGCGUGUAGGCGGUUUGGUUAGUCGGGUGUGAAAGCCCUGGGCUCAACUCAGGAACUGCAUUCGAAACUGCCAGGCUAGAGUCCCGGAGAGGAAGGCAGAAUUCCCAGUGUAGGGGUGAAAUCCGUAGAUAUUGGGAGGAAUACCAGUGGCGAAGGCGGCCUUCUGGACGGUGACUGACGCUGAGACGCGAAAGCGUGGGGAGCAAACAGG